CCUACUGUUCUGCAUAUGUUAAGAAUUUUGCUCAGCCUGGCUCCACCUGCUCUGAAUCUUCUGUUCGAGUACCAACUUGGUUGUUCCUCCUAAUCUAAUGUUGUGUGCUGACUUGCUGAGAACGCAUAUUGUCCUGCCACUGGAGUUAAUAAUGAGGACAUUAAACAGUAUGAACUUAAGUGUCAGCCCCUGAGGAGUGCUGUAGUUUCUGGCUGCCAGUUGGACUUUGCACCACUGAUCACAACAUUUUGCUCUGUUGUCUUCCCAGGGACUGAACUGAGACUGACUCGCCUUUAAGUCCUGGAUCCUUAAGCCUGCAAUUCCUGAAGCUGGAUGAAGACCUGCUACAAAUGUUCUUGCCCUGUGGAAUCACACAGCUCUCUUUUCCAACCUCUGCAGUCUGAUAUGUGCAUGAGAGGACAAGCAGAACAUUUUCUGUGCUUCAGAAACAGCAUGGUGUUUCCAUGCAGUGUAACAUCACUGGAGACCUGAAGUGACUGUAGUCAAGUGGAAGAGCAGUCAGCUGUGAUUACUGUGGAAAGAAGAAAAGAUGAAGAAAUGAGACUGCUAGAGCACACACGCAGAUGCCGCAUCCUUCUACAAGCUUUGGUUGAAUGAGCAUAUGUUUUGUCAGUAAGGCCUUCCAGACUCUGAAUGUUUUUAAGCAGACACAUUCUGUCUAUUUCUUUAAUUACUUAAUAUUUUAAAAAAUAUUUUGAUAAAGUAUUUCAAAUCAGCUUGUUUUUGUGUCUAUGACUUAGUAAGGGCUAUGUGCCUGCCAGUUUUGAAUAUAAAAUGAAGGCUUUCAUACCAUUCUUAAAGGGGACAAUCAAAAAAGAAGAGAAAUAUUUUAAAGUACUCUCAGUGUUACAUAGCUUUAAUUUUGAAAAGGAACUUCUCAAAGCUCCUAGUAUGAAGGACUAUAUAAUUUUUAAUUUAAAAAAUAAUUUUUUAUUAAUUUUUAAUUUGGAAAAUUUGUUAACUGGAGAUGUGCAAGGUCAAGAUCCCUCCUCUCCUAACACAUUUCCCCCAUGGCAUUUAGUGGCAGGCGUUUCUACUGUAAACUUGUUCCGACAACUUGUCUUCUGAGUGACCAAAAUCAGCAGGCUAGUUCACACUACCAUCUGUCAUUUAAGAUGCUGUGUCCACCCCUCCUAAGAAAUAGGGUAGCUUGUACAGCCUGUGAGAGGAAUUCCCCAGACUCUUACAUACUUCUUGAAAAUUGAUUAUUUUAUUGAUUCAUUGUUCCCUGAAUGUGAAACAUUUUCUGCAAAGGGAAAAAGCAGAAUAUACUAUUACCUCUUGGAAGUUAGAAGGAAUUUCCUGCCAUUUAAUAUUUACUCAAUUCACCCCAAAUUAUUUGCAAACCUCUAACUGAAAACAUUUACGAGAUGUAAAUCUUUAUGACACAUAGAAUUACAGUGCAUCACAUGAGCUAGAAAUGUUUCUGUUGUUUUAUCAACUUUUAUUUUUAUUUUAUUACUUUCCAUCUUUUUAGUCCAGAGGUUUUGAAUUUAGAUACUGAAAUAGCUUGUACAAGAGGUUUACUGAGGGCACAAUUUCAAGGUUUACUUCAACUCCCACUACUUUUUAAUCCUGAUGAAAUAGUUCAUGAGAGUCUACAAUGGACCAAUGCAAUAAUUCAUCUACAAACUUGUCCAAUAGAAAAAGACAGCCUUUAGUUUCAUGCCUUUCAGACAUCUGCCUGAUUUCCAGAAGUAGAAUCAUAGAAUCAUAAAGGUUGAAAAAGACCUCUAAGACCAUCUAGUCCAACCUCCA